rnacentral:rRNA from 1 species
AACGUAGGACACGAGCGUUAUCCGGAGUUACUGGGCGUAAAGGGCGGGUAGGUGGCAUUAUAAGUCUGGUGUGAAAGCCUUCGGCUUAACCGAGGGAGGACACUGGAGACUGUAAAGCUCGAGGCAGAUAGAGGGGUGUAGAAUUCCGGGUGUAGUGGUGAAAUGCGUAGAGAUCCGGAGGAAUACCAGAGGCGAAGGCGGCACCCUGGGUCUGACCUGACACUGAUCCGCGACAGCAUGGGGAGCGAACGGG